ensembl:lncRNA
UGAAACCCCAGUGAUUAAAAACCACUUUAUUUAAUGUUUGGGUACGGAUUUUAUUUUUCUUUAGUAUAAAAUUAUAUUGUUAUCUGUUCCUUUAAGAACAUUAGUUUGUAUCAGGGUUCGGUUGUAAUCUACAUGGUGAAAACGUGUUUUUUUCAAUCAUGUUUGGGUUUACCUUGUAUUCAUUGGGCUAUAACUCGAUAAACCCACCUAAUACAAGGUGAAGGUGGUGUAUUAUUGGCUCUUGAGAAGUUGAGGGAGGGACAGGGAGAUCGGGGGAAAAAAAAAAACAGAGAACGGUGUGUGCAAGGGACUGCUGUGGGUGUGAGUGGCGAAAACAAGAUUAAUCCAGACAGGAUUGAUUUAUUUCAUUUGUUUAACCUUUUAAGAGGGAACUAGUAACUACUUUAGCCAGCCGAUCGCUGGUUAAUGUUAUUUGUUUUCACAAUAGUCUGUGUUUGGCGCAGAGAGAUUAAUGCGUCAUCAGUCAUCCUUCAUUUACAUUCAAGCGAGUCCCGUGUGAGUUAUUUGAAACUUAAAACAGACUUUGUUACUGUCAUUUAGUAGUUUAGUUGUAAACUGUGAGUCCUGUAGACUUUGUUUAUCAACGUGAGCGACGGCGAUUCAGAGGAGGGGCAGGACUUGACGCCCAGGUAGCGCUCUGAGCCACCGAGGGGCUCAGGGUUCCCCUGGCAACGAGGGAUCGCUGGGGAGGUCCAGACGCCUUGUCAGGGACGAUCAGCACCCAUGAUUCGAGGAUCCUAAAUCGGGAGAACUCAUUGGAUUAAAAGGUACCUCAGUUCACGUUUUGUUUGGCUCUUCGGAGUGAAGCGGCCAAUUUUCUGUUUAUUUUCGUGGCCACAACGAUCACCAGCAACGGUACAGGCCUGCAACGGGGGUGAGAGUGAGUGUAUGUAUGUGUGUGAGUGGGCCCACGUGAGUUAAUAUGGUUAUGUGGCAUUGCAAUUGCAAUAUCUAAGGAACAGGCCUGCAACGGGGGUGAGAGUGAGUGUAUGUAUGUGUGUGAGUGGGCCCACGUGAGUUAAUAUGGUUAUGUGGCAUUGCAAUUGCAAUAUCUAAGGAACAGGUUGAUAAUGUUUUUCCAUUGAACUUGGGAUCAAGUUUAAUUGCCUUAUUUGUGCAUUUAGAGUAACACAGUUAAAAGGUGUAGUGUAAAAAGGGCAAUCUGACUAAAGCCUGUUUGAUUGCUGUGACUUCUGUACAUUUUGAUUUGAUUUUCCCUUUUUCUUUUAGAUUUAUUUUGUUAAAUAAACACUAUCAUAGUGUUAACUUGAGUGACUGCAGUGAAGUCAUUAUGGGUUAAAGGAAAGUAUCUAUAUAACCAGAGUAAAGGGAGUCAAUGGUUUCAUUUGGUUGAUUUAUUUUGACCUAUAAGAGCAAUUUUAAAAGUUAACAUCUUUACUUUCUAAUCAGUGAUAGAGGAGAGGGACCUCGGUUUAUUUAGUCGAGAGACUAUCCCAUAUCGAACCCAAGUGCCCAUCCUAAGUGCUCAGGUAAGCCACCCUGAAGAGGAAGAGGGUGCUACAUAUUAAAAGUUAUUUUUAAGUGUGAUAUUGUUUCAUAAUAUUGCCAUUUUUACUGUAUUUUUGAUCAAAUAAAUGCAAAAUUGGUAAGCAUAAGAAACUCCUUUCAAAAAAAUCUUAAUUAUUCCAAACUUUCGACCGGUAGUGUAAGUCAAAACUGAUUAUACUCUGUAGAUAAAAGCUUGAUUUUAUCAACAUCUAAUAUGUGAUGUCUGACAUUCCACAAAACAAAUGACCGUGAAAUUGAUAUGCCAAUAAAUGCAUCGUACCAACUCCUGCCUAGUCAGCAGAAAGGAACCCUGCAGUGGGAAACUCCACAGUGCACAAACAUGAUUUGAGUCUAACAUUCCUUCACUUUGUGUUAAAAAUACCCUACAUCAACAAACCAUUGUUUGGGGAUUGUGGGUGUCACAUGGGGUCAUGGUAGCAACAGCUGGCCUUAACAGCCCUCCACAAUCCACCCCCAAACCCAUUAAUACUGCUCUCCCUCUGCCUCGGCUUGCAACCAUGUGUGAAAUGAUCCUUAAUGAUGGAGAUGAGGUAAUGCCUUCAGCAGCUCUGACAUCACUAUAGCCUUUCCCAUCCAGAGCAACUGACCAUCACUUCCACAAUGAGCUUUUCAACUACCUUUCUUCAAGGAGAACGUGAUGAAUGUCACACGUAUGAAUAUUAGAUGUUGAAAUUCCCAUUUUAUCCAUUAAUAGAUGAUUAUAAUUAAAAAGUCUAAAAUCAUUCAGUUUAAUUAACACACACACACACACACAUAUAUUUACUAGUUGCUUUUAACAUAUUGGGAUGGCAUAUGUCGGGAUUGCAUAUACUCUUUAUUAGUACUUAUAAAGAACAUAUUCUGCAUGGCCAUAUUCUACAUCUCCAAUCCUACCCAACACCAAAACUUAACAACUACCUUACUAACUAUUCAUUGAGGCAAAAGUUGUAGUUAAUGGUUUGUUAAUAGCAAGAAUUGGAUCUUAAAAUAAAGUGACCGACAUCAUUUAAUACAUCAUUUAAUGGGUGAUAAUACACAAUUAAUCAUGAUCUUGUAGAUUUCACUGCAUGUGAAGUAGGCACACAAUAAUCAGCACUAACUAACAGCUUAAUGUGGUUACAAGUGAAACAUUCUCACUGUGGUAAACAAAACAUGGUGUUCUCUGUUAGUUCCUUUCCUUUUUUUACAAUCCUUUAUGUAAACACUCAUAAAUGUGACUGAAACUGUGUUUCAAUCGAAUGUUCUCUCACUUCUGUUUCUUUAUUAAGAAUAUUUAUGUAAAAACAUAAACAAUAAACUUA